rnacentral:lncRNA from 1 species
GAGAAAAAAGGGUGAAAAUUUGAGUUCGAGUGGUGUUUUUUUUUUAAAAAAUUAGAAACAUGGAGCUAAAAUGCAAAAAGAAAAAAUUCAGCCACGUGGGACGAUCCAGUCAGUAGACCCGACAAAUUAGAGCACGCCGCUUAACAAAACACACUGACAUCGACGCCACACGGGCGAUCUGCAUGCCCAGUGAUCAUGGGGAUUAUGGGGGACCGACCUUGCUAUCAUCUUAAUAAUACCUACCGCAUAUGUAGGAGUGCCCAACAUUACGCGAGAGAGUGUCCGAAAAAUCAGAAUCAGGUCAAACCUCUUAUUUAGGGUAGAGCUUACAACCUCACUUAGUAAGAUACUGAAGCCAACCUGGACGUGAUAUAUGGUACGUAUACUAUCUGUAAUCAUCUUGCACAUAUUUUGAUUGAUACUAGUGCUUCACAUUCGUUUGUCUCACAUACUUUUGCAUGAAACUUGAAUGUAUUACAUGAGAGACUUGAUUCUGUACUAUUUGUGUCUAUUCUUGGAAGUAGAACACUACUAGAGGAGGUUAUAAACAAAGCUUG